CCUACGGGAGGCAGCAGUAGGGAAUCUUUCACAAUGGGCGAAAGCCUGAUGGAGCAACGUCGCGUGCAGGAUGAAGGCCCUCGGGUUGUUAACCGCCUUUAUAAGCGAGAAAUAUGAUGGCAACUUAUGAAUAAGGAUCGGCUAACUACGUGCCAGCAGCCGCGGUCAUACGUAGGAUCCGAGCAUUAUCCGGAGUGACUGGGUGUAAAGAGUUGUGUUGGUGGCAUAAUAAGUAGCUAGUGAAAUCUGGUGGCUCAACCAUUCGGACUAUUAGCUAAACUGUUUAGCUCGAGACCGUUAGAGGUAAGUGGAAUUUCUGGUGUAGGGGUGAAAUCCGUAGAUAUUAGAAAGAACGCCGAUAGCGUAGGCAGGUUACUGGAGCGGUUCUGACGCUGAGGCACGAAGGCGUAGGGAGCGAACGGGAUUAGAUACCCGUGUAGUC
rnacentral:rRNA from 1 species